rnacentral:rRNA from 1 species
GGGUUAAGUCCCGCAACGAGCGCAACCCUCGACCUUAGUUGCCAGCAUUCAGUUGGGCACUCUAAGGUGACUGCCGGCUAAAAGUCGGAGGAAGGUGGGGAUGACGUCAAAUCAUCAUGCCCCUUAUGACCUGGGCUACACACGUGCUACAAUGGGCGGUACAAAGGGUCGCGAACCCGCGAGGGGGGAGCCAAUCCCAAAAAGCCGCUCUCAGUUCGGAUUGCAGGCUGCAACUCGCCUGCAUGAAGCCGGAAUCGCUAGUAAUCGCGGAUCAGCAUGCCGCGGUGAAUACGUUCCCGGGCCUU